rnacentral:miRNA from 1 species
CUACAUCUCACAUUGCGAGCGU